AAUGGCGACCGGCGCACGGGUGAGUAACACGUAUCCAACCUGCCGAUAACUCCGGAAUAGCCUUUCGAAAGAAAGAUUAAUACCGGAUAGCAUACGAAUAUCGCAUGAUAUUUUUAUUAAAGAAUUUCGGUUAUCGAUGGGGAUGCGUUCCAUUAGUUUGUUGGCGGGGUAACGGCCCAUCAAGACUACGAUGGAUAGGGGUUCUGAGAGGAAGGUCCCCCACAUUGGAACUGAGACACGGUCCAA
rnacentral:rRNA from 1 species